rnacentral:rRNA from 1 species
AGUGAACGCUGGCAGCGUGCUUAACACAUGCAAGUCGAACGAGAACGGAAUAUAGCUUGCUAUAUUUGUCAGCUAAGUGGCGCACGGGUGAGUAAUGUAUAGAUAACCUGCCCUUAAGAAAGGAAUAACAGUUGGAAACGAAUGCUAAUGCCCUAUAUGCCUUUAAUACAUAAGUAUGCAAGGGAAACGCUUUAGUGCUUAAGGAUGGGUCUGUAUGGUAUCAGCUUGUUGGUUAGGUAAUGGCUCACCAAGGCGAUGACGCCUAACUGGUUUGAGAGGAUGAGCAGACACACUGGAGCUGGGACACGGUCCAGACUCCUACGGGAUGCAGCAGUGGGGAAUAUUGCACAAUGGACGAAAGUCUGAUGCAGCAACGCCGCGUGGAGGAUGACACAUUUCGGUGCGUAAACUCCUUUUAUAUAGGAAGAUAAUGACGGUACUAUAUGAAUAAGCACCGGCUAACUCCGUGCCAGCCGCCGCGGUAA